GUACAGACCGACUCUCCAGGGGUGGCGUUUUGGGCUCCACUGGUAUUUGUCAGCUGCACCUCUCCAGAAGGACCCCUCUCCUAACAUUCUGCAAACUAGGCAGAAGCCGAGGCUCACUGUAAAUGGCACAAAGAAAGUGAAAAGGGAUUAAGGUGACCACAGGGAGGAAAUGACCCUGACAACUCUCUGAAGGUUGUUGCCAAGGCACGAUGGCUUGGGAUAGCUCUGCUUGCCAGGACUGAGCAUUAUUCCUGCAUUAUCUCCAUGUACCAGAAGCAGGACUGGGGUUGGUGUGGAAGAGAGCAUAUUUGAGGCAGGUGCAUCCCAGGUGAAAGCUGGUUGUAAAGUAAGCACUGGACUGGACAUUGCAACCAUAAAUUAUGAAUUGAAGAAGAGAUUUUGACCCUGAAGGCAGCAUGUACUGCAAAUCAUUUCUCUCGAAGUUAACAAAUACUGGCAAAGUGACCUCGUUCUGUCUGAGGAGGAAUACGACAAAUAAAAAGUCAACAGCAACAACAACAACAAAAGUGCUGGUAAAAAAAAAGUGUUGCAGGCAAAAUGAAUACAUUGAACAAAGCUUGGCAGCGCUGGAAAGAGUGUUUUCCUCAGGAAUCUAGCUCUUUAAGACAACGUUGCUACACAGUCACAGAGUGCUUGCAGAAGAGUCCUGACUGACAUCGAUUCAUAGUGUCUGAAG
rnacentral:sRNA from 1 species